GGGGGGUUAGUUCAGUUGGUAGAAUAUGAGAUUCCAGCGAUUACAAGUCGAGAGAUUCCUCAAGGUCAUCGGUUCAAAUCCGGUAUCCCUCA